rnacentral:rRNA from 1 species
GGCUCAGGAUGAACGCUAGCUACAGGCUUAACACAUGCAAGUCGAGGGGCAGCAUGAAGUCAGCUUGCUGACUUUGAUGGCGACCGGCGCACGGGUGAGUAACGCGUAUCCAACCUUCCCCUUACUCAGGAAUAGCCCGUUGAAAGACGGAUUAAUGCCUGAUGUUCUCUUUUUCCGGCAUCGGUAAUAGAGCAAAGAUUCAUCGGUAAGGGAUGGGGAUGCGUAUGAUUAGCCUGUUGGCGGGGUAACGGCCCACCAAGGCAACGAUCAUUAGGGGUUCUGAGAGGAAGGUCCCCCACACUGGAACUGAGACACGGACCAGACUCCUACGGGAGGCAGCAGUGAGGAAUAUCGGUCAAUGGUCGGAAGACUGAACCAGCCAUGCCGCGUGAAGGUCACGGCCCUAUGGGUCUUAAACUUCUUUUGUAAGGGAGCAAUAAGGUUCACGUGUGGACUGAUGAGAGUACCUUACGAAUAAGCAUCGGCUAACUCCGUG